rnacentral:rRNA from 1 species
UACGUAGGGAGCAAGCGUUGUUCGGAUUUACUGGGCGUAAAGGGCGCGUAGGCGGCGCGGUAAGUCACUUGUGAAAUCUCUGAGCUUAACUCAGAACGGCCAAGUGAUACUGCAGUGCUAGAGUGCAGAAAGGGCAAUCGGAAUUCUUGGUGUAGCGGUGAAAUGCGUAGAUAUCAAGAGGAACACCUGAGGCGAAGGCGGGUUGCUAGGCUGACACUGACGCUGAGUGCGCGAAAGCCAGGGGAGCAAACGAG